UCUUCUAAUUACGUCAUUGAUCAAAGGCGCAGGUUCCGGGCCGGUCAAUAGGCCGCGUCUCCGGUAACCAUAGUAACAAUCAGAUCCCGUGCAACCUUAGCACCUUCCGGAGAGAAACCUCCAUACUGCAGGCUGGGCAAAGUACUUCUCCAUGCUGGAUCUUACCACCGGCUAUUGGCAGGUGUCUGUUGCUGAGAGAGACAGAGAGAAGACGUGGUUAUUGCUAUUCAAAGAUGCUGAAACUUAAAGUAGAACCCUCACCAGCCUUCAUCUAGGGAGAUAAUCUGCUGCCAGAGUUCAGUAGUGAUUUACCACCACAUCCUAAAUACAUGACAUUAAUGCUAUGGGAGGACAGCUGGGCACAUACAGCACUUAAUGGAGCCUAAGCGACAGCAUAUGGAGGCAGUACACAAGGCGGUUCUUCUUCACGUCCUGAAGAAGAAGGAUGAACCUUUGAAACACGUUGUCCCAUUUACCCUGCAUGUUUUAUGAACCAAUAAAGCCUGCUUUUGU